GACGAACGCUGGCGGCGUGCUUAACACAUGCAAGUCGAACGAAGUGGCGAACGGGUGAGUAACGAGUAAUCAACCUGCCCUGCAGAGGGGGACAACAGUUGGAAACGACUGCUAAUACCGAAUACUGACGGAGGGGAGUGCGUCGGAGGAGCUAGUGGGCGGGGUAACGGCCAACCAAGGCGAUGAUCAGUAGCCGGUCUGAGAGAAAGAACGGUCACAUGGGAACUGAUACACGGACCAGACCCUUACUGGAGGCAGCAGUGGGGAAUCUGCCGAAAUGGACGAAAGUCUGACGGAGCAACGCCGGGUGAGUGAGGACGGCCUUCGGGUUGUAAAGCGCUUUUAAUCGGGACGCGUUACCGGAAUAGAAAGCCACGGCUAACUACGUGCCAGCAGCCGCGGUAAUUC
rnacentral:rRNA from 1 species